ensembl:lncRNA
AUUUCUAUGCCUGAGAUAUGUGGUUGUCCCACCUGGAUAUUUUAAGAUUAAUGCUGUCAGUCUCUCUGGAUAAGAGCGUCUGCUAAAUGACUCAAAUGUAAAGGUCACUUGUUCAAGGGGGCAGCAGGGUAGCCUAGUGGUUAGAGUGUAGAGGUGGCAGGGUAGCCUAGUGGUUAGAGUGUAGAGGUGGCAGGGUAGCCUAGUGGUUAGAGUGUAGAGGUGGCAGGGUAGCCUAGUGGUUAGAGUGUAGAGGGGGCAGGGUAGCCUAGUGGUUAGAGUGUAGAGGCGGCAGGGUAGCCUAGUGGUUAGAGUGUAGAGGCG